UACAGAGGGGGCAAGCGUUGUUCGGAAUUACUGGGCGUAAAGGGCGCGUAGGCGGCCUUCUAAGUCAGACGUGAAAUCCCCGGGCUCAACCCGGGAACUGCGUCUGAUACUGGAUGGCUUGAAUCCGGGAGAGGGAUGUGGAAUUCCAGGUGUAGCGGUGAAAUGCGUAGAUAUCUGGAGGAACACCGGUGGCGAAGGCGGCAUCCUGGACCGGCAUUGACGCUGAGGCGCGAAAGCCAGGGGAGCAAACGGG
rnacentral:rRNA from 1 species